GCCAGCUGCUUCAGAGUCUCUUCAGAGCUAGCCAGAGGUGAGUGGAAUAAACUUUAAGUUUUAAAGCAAAUUAAUGAAAUGUUUUAGCAUGAUUCACGCAUCAUGAAUGCCAUGAGAUAUAUUAGGUUGUUUGCAUUAGAAUUCACGAAUAUGUUGCAUUGCAUACUUUGUUGUUGAUGUGGAUGAAUGUUGAAUGAUCCAUUAGCCCUUGUAUGUCAUGAUAGCCUAUGUGAGUCCAGGUGUGCCUGCUACGGCUCUACGCCCCUGGCAUUAUGACCAAUUAUGGAAGUCCGGGUGUGCCUGCUACGGCUCUACGCCCCCGGCAUGUAUAAGUAAGAAAGAUAGGGGCUAAAUGGUGACAAGUUCAUCCUUGUUGUGAAAUGUUUGUGUUAUGGCGCAUACAUGAAAGCAUGAUUUAAAUUGAUGUUUUAUUAUUCUGCUCACUGGGCUCUAGUAGCUCACCCCACUCCCUUUAUCC
rnacentral:lncRNA from 1 species